AGAAUGUCCUCAUUUGUAUGGUCAAGGCUGGGUUGCAGAGAAGUCCAUGUUGCAGCUCAUGGAAAAAAAGAACCAAAGGGACUCAAGAACACUGGCUUAUGUCUUAGAUUGGAGAUGACCUGGAAAGUCAACUUUCACCCAUAACCCAUUGGCCUAAAACAAUAGAAGGCAACUGGAAAAGAGGCAAGGAUUCUAACUACAUACUGCAGAAAAAAUAUUCACACCUGUCAAAUUCCAACAGCUGGCAUUGUUGUUGUUCUACGAAUAAGCACACACAGAAUCCUCGUGAAUAGUUCUUUGUCUCUUGCUCUAGUAAAUCAUAACCUGCUUGUAGCUUUUUUAUGAACCUUCAGGAAUAACUCUUCAGAGGAUGCUAAUACAUCAUUAAGAUUAAAUUGAACCUCAAAGGUGGGUUUUUUUUCCAAAAUGAUAAAGGCCACCAACACUGCAAGGUUUGCCGUCAUUCCCUUGAUCUGGUAAGUGACACCGUCUUCAGGGUUUGUGUACUCAAAGAUAUGAUUAAUAAAACGGUGACCAAGACGUGUGACGUAAUGCUGGUCAUGGACCUGUGGAUGCAGGAAAUAGGCCAGAGGCACCAGGAAUACAUCCUUAACUUCAGCAGGAUUCGGCUGGGCCUGGAAGUUGUGGUCUAUUAAACCCACAAAUGGAGUUAUCAAUGUAUCUGUCUAAAAGCAGAAAACAAAACAGACAAAUUAAGAAGUGAAGUGAUACUGCUUCAAAUCCUAAAAUCAUGCCACUUCUAGGUGAGCUAAGAAAAUACACCGAACCUGGGAGAAGGG
ensembl:lncRNA novel transcript, antisense to NUDT7